CAGAGUGAACGCUGGCGGCGUGCCUAACACAUGCAAGUCGAGGGGUAACAGGAGAAGCUUGCUUCUUGCUGACGACCGGCGGACGGGUGAGUAAUGCAUAGCUUACCUGCCCCAUAGACGGGAAUAGCCACUGGAAACGGUGAUUAAUACCCGAUACUCCCUACGGGGGAAAUGCUUUUGCGCUAUGGGAUGGGGCUAUGUCCUAUCAGCUUGUUGGUGAGGUAAAAGCUCACCAAGGCUAUGACGGGUAGCUGGUCUGAGAGGAUGAUCAGCCACACUGGAACUGAGACACGGUCCAGACUCCUACGGGAGGCAGCAGUGGGGAAUAUUGCGCAAUGGGGGCAACCCUGACGCAGCAACGCCGCGUGGAGGAUGACGCAUUUCGGUGUGUAAACUCCUUUUAACAAGGAAGAUAAUGACGGUACUUGUUGAAUAAGCACCGGCUAACCCCGUGCCAGCAACCGCGGUAAUACGGAGGGUGCAAGCGUUACUCGGAAUCACUGGGCGUAAAGCGCAUGUAGGCGGACUUACAAGUCAGGUGUGAAAUCCUAUGGCUCAACCAUAGAACAGCACUUGAAACUGUAAGUCUAGAGUUCGGGAGAGGCAGAUGGAAUUUCCGGUGUAGGGGUAAAAUCCGUAGAGAUCGGAAGGAAUACCUAUUGCGAAGGCGAUCUGCUGGAACGCAACUGACGCUCAGAUGCGAAAGCGUGGGUAGCAAACAGGAUUAGAUACCCUGGUAGUCCACGCCCUAAAACGAUGGAUGCUAG
rnacentral:rRNA from 1 species